UUCAUUCACAAACCAACAGUACCCACAAUGGCAGUCUGGACAUUGGCCUAGCCCGCAUUAUAACCCCACUUCAGGCCCACAUACCCGCUCCCCUUCCUGGCCAACCCCGGCCCCUUAUUUUUGGGCUGUACCACCUUGCCCGUACCCCUCGGUCCCUCCUUCUCGGCCCACUACAAGCAGCCCACAACAAGGUAUUUUAGGCCCUCGCCCACAACAAGCCUAUGCCACUUCGGAAUCGAGUUACACGCCCACAGAACUGGAUCAAGCAUUCAGCACUUUUUCGCUUCAACCUCCGGAUCACACUUGGUAUAUGGAUACCGGUGCUACAGGAACUCCACACACGGAAGCCAAUCCUCCGAUGUGACAACACGGGUGACUUAUACCCUCUUACCUUUCCCUCAAGACACCAAGCUCAAGCAUCUGAUACUUCUUUUCUAGCCGUGUCCCAAGAUACUUGGCAUCGC
rnacentral:lncRNA from 1 species